UCCCUGGUAGUAUAUCGGUUAGUACACGCGCCUGUCAUGAUAUAUCCAACUGGACGUAUCGCGUGAAAGCUGGGUUCGACUCCCAGCCAGGGAG